GGCCCUGUGGUGAAGAAUUCAUGUUGAGUUGCAAGCUCAUCGAUGUGCACUGAUGGUGUACCGGGGUCU
rnacentral:tRNA from 1 species